GAUGAACGCUGGCGGCGUGCCUAAUACAUGCAAGUCGAGCGAACAGACGAGGAGCUUGCUCCUCUGACGUUAGCGGCGGACGGGUGAGUAACACGUGGAUAACCUACCUAUAAGACUGGGAUAACUUCGGGAAACCGGAGCUAAUACCGGGUAAUAUAUUGAACCGCAUGGUUCAAUGGUGAAAGACGGUUUUGCUGUCACUUAUAGAUGGAUCCGCGCCGCAUUAGCUAGUUGGUAAGGUAACGGCUUACCAAGGCAACGAUGCGUAGCCGACCUGAGAGGGUGAUCGGCCACACUGGAACUGAGACACGGUCCAGACUCCUACGGGAGGCAGCAGUAGGGAAUCUUCCGCAAUGGGCGAAAGCCUGACGGAGCAACGCCGCGUGAGUGAUGAAGGUCUUCGGAUCGUAAAACUCUGUUAUUAGGGAAGAACAAAUGUGUAAGUAACUAUGCACGUCUUGACGGUACCUAAUCAGAAAGCCACGGCUAACUACGUG
rnacentral:rRNA from 1 species